UCGUAGGCUACACACGUACUACAAGUCGGGCCGGUAACGAAAGGGCUGACCGAACCCGCGAGGGGGGGCUAAUCCCAGAAAGCCGGCCUCAGUUCGGAUCGGAGUCUGCAACUCGACUCCGUGAAGUUGGAAUCGCUAGUAAUCGCGGAUCAGCAUGCCGCGGUGAAUACGUUCCCGGGCCUU
rnacentral:rRNA from 1 species